rnacentral:lncRNA from 1 species
UUUUUUGCCAGUCAGGAAUUCACAGCUUCUUGGGUGGGUGGUUUCUGGCUCAGUGUUUUGCAUGGGCUUGCAGUCAAGAUGUUGACUGAGGCGUCAGUCAAAUGAGGCUUGACUAGGCCUGCAGGAUCUAUUUGCUCUCAGAGCUGGCAAGUGGAUGUGGGCUGUUGGUGGCAGCCCUUAGUUUCUCACCCAUGUGGGUCUCUCCACAAGGCUAAUUGAGUGUCCUCACAACAUGGUGGCUGUUUCCAUCAUAGCCAGUCAUUCGAGAGAGCAAAGUAGAAGCAUAGGGCCUUUUAUGACCUAGCCUCCGAAGUCACACAUUGUCACUUUGGCCACAUUCUAUUCAUUAGGAGUAAGUCAUUAAGUGUAGCCCUUUUGUGAAGGGAAGGGUAUCAAAGAAUUUGUGAACAUAUUUUAAAACCACUAGUAUUACCCUUAUACAUAAUCUUUGUGUAGUUGUGUGACUAUUUCCUUAGAAUACAUUUCUAGAACUGGAAUUGCUGGGUCUAGCAAUAUAUGCACUUUUAACUUUGAUAAUUCCUCCUGUUUGUAUUAGAAACUGUUCACUGUCCCCCUACUAUCCAUUUUCUCUUUUCUUCCUUUUAGCAAUGAAUCUCCUGAGUUUCAGGGAGAAAUCUAUUCAGAGAACAGAUGUGGUAGUGGGAGUCAGCUUCCAGCAGGUGAUGCAGAGUGCUGAGACAGAUGACGACAGGCUGGGCUUCAGUUCCCUCACCUGGAGAGUGAUGAGAACACCAGCGCAAAAUUCCA